rnacentral:hammerhead_ribozyme from 1 species
AUCCAGCUGACGAGUCCCAAAUGAGACAAAGCGCGCGCGCCGUGGAU